UACGGAGGAUCCAAGCGUUAUCCGGAUUUAUUGGGUUUAAAGGGUGCGUAGGCGGCCUUGUUAAGUCAGGGGUGAAAGACGGUAGCUCAACUAUCGCAGUGCCCUUGAUACUGAUGGGCUUGAAUGGACUAGAGGUAGGCGGAAUGUGACAAGUAGCGGUGAAAUGCAUAGAUAUGUCACAGAACACCGAUUGCGAAGGCAGCUUACUAUGGUCCUAUUGACGCUGAGGCACGGAAGCGUGGGGAUCGAACAGGA
rnacentral:rRNA from 1 species